AUCUGAAGAACGCCGUUGAGAGACUACACCGCCCAUGAAACCCUGCAGUAUAACCUUGAAGUACCAUCACGGAGAGAAACAGUGCCAUCUCAGGGCCAGUGGCGCAAUGGAUAACGCGUCUGACUACGGAUCAGAAGAUUCCAGGAGCCAAUGACCAAUAGGCCAGAGCACUGGAGACUUUCUGGAAGAAAGAGGUACUGAAGCAUCCAAUAUGGAAAUAGUCAAGAUAUAGAAAAUGCAAGCUCUUGAAGGAUUCAAGAUAUAGAAAGGAUCUGAGAUAUGGAAAGAACUCAGGAUAUAGAAGGAUCUGAAAUUUUGGAGACUAAGAUAUGAGAAUAUUUAAGACACAGGUAGGAAGGACACCUUCAAGGAAUUUGCUGGCUACCCUUAUUUUUAUAAUAUUCUUGC
rnacentral:lncRNA from 1 species